rnacentral:rRNA from 1 species
GAUGAACGCUGGCGGCGUGCCUAAUACAUGCAAGUCGAGCGAACAGAUGAGGAGCUUGCUCCUCUGACGUUAGCGGCGGACGGGUGAGUAACACGUGGAUAACCUACCUAUAAGACUGGGAUAACUUCGGGAAACCGGAGCUAAUACCGGAUAAUAUAUUGAACCGCAUGGUUCAAUAGUGAAAGACGGUUUUGCUGUCACUUAUAGAUGGAUCCGCGCCGCAUUAGCUAGUUGGUAAGGUAACGGCUUACCAAGGCAACGAUGCGUAGCCGACCUGAGAGGGUGAUCGGCCACACUGGAACUGAGACACGGCCCAGACUCCUACGGGAGGCAGCAGUCGGGAAUCUUCCGCAAUGGGCGAAAGCCUGACGGAGCAACACCGCGUGAGUGAUGAAGGUCUUCGGAUCGUAAAGCUCUGUUAUUAGGGAAGAACAAAUGUGUAAGUAACUAUGCACGUCUUGACGGUACCUAAUCAGAAAGCCCCGGCUAACUUCGUG